GACGAACGCUGGCGGCGUGCCUAAUACAUGCAAGUAGAACGCUGAAGAGAGGAGCUUGCUCUUCUUGGAUGAGUUGCGAACGGGUGAGUAACGCGUAGGUAACCUGCCUGGUAGCGGGGGAUAACUAUUGGAAACGAUAGCUAAUACCGCAUAAAAUUGAUUAUUUCAUGAUACUUAAUUGAAAGAUGCAACUGCAUCACUACCAGAUGGACCUGCGUUGUAUUAGCUAGUUGGUGAGGUAACGGCUCACCAAGGCGACGAUACAUAGCCGACCUGAGAGGGUGAUCGGCCACACUGGGACUGGGACACGGGCCAGACCCCUGCGGGAGGCAGCAGUAGGGAAUCUUCGGCAAUGGGGGGAACCCUGACCGAGCAACGCCGCGUGAGGGAAGAAGGUUUUCGGAUCGGAAAGCUCGGUUGUAAGAGAAGAACGGGUGUGAGAGUGGAAAGUUCACACUGUGACGGUAUCUUACCAGAAAGGGACGGCUAACUACGUG
rnacentral:rRNA from 1 species